UACGUAGGGUGCAAGCGUUGUCCGGAAUUAUUGGGCGUAAAGAGCUCGUAGGCGGUCUGUCACGUCGGCUGUGAAAACCUGGGGCUUAACUCUGGGCGUGCGGUCGAUACGGGCAUCACUAGAGUUCGGCAGGGGAGACUGGAAUUCCUGGUGUAGCGGUGAAAUGCGCAGAUAUCAGGAGGAACACCGGUGGCGAAGGCGGGUCUCUGGGCCGAUACUGACGCUGCGGAGCGAAAGCAUGGGUAGCGAACAGG
rnacentral:rRNA from 1 species